rnacentral:rRNA from 1 species
GACGGACGCUGGCGGCGUGCUUAACACAUGCAAGUCGAACGGAAAGGCCCUGCUUUUGUGGGGUGCUCGAGUGGCGAACGGGUGAGUAACACGUGAGUAACCUGCCCUUGACUUUGGGAUAACUUCAGGAAACUGGGGCUAAUACCGGAUAGGAGCUCCUGCUGCAUGGUGGGGGUUGGAAAGUUUCGGCGGUUGGGGAUGGACUCGCGGCUUAUCAGCUUGUUGGUGGGGUAGUGGCUUACCAAGGCUUUGACGGGUAGCCGGCCUGAGAGGGUGACCGGCCACAUUGGGACUGAGAUACGGCCCAGACUCCUACGGGAGGCAGCAGUGGGGAAUAUUGCACAAUGGGCGGAAGCCUGAUGCAGCAACGCCGCGUGCGGGAUGAAGGCCUUCGGGUUGUAAACCGCUUUCGCCUGUGACGAAGCGUGAGUGACGGUAAUGGGUAAAGAAGCACCGGCUAACUACGUG